AAUGAACGUUGGCGGCGUGGAUUAGGCAUGCAAGUCGAGCGGGUAUAGCAAUAUAUCAGCGGCGAAAGGGAGAGUAACGCGUAGUUACGUGCCCCGAGGUCCAGAAUAGCCAGCCGAAAGGCUGGGUAAUGCUGGAUGAUAUCUCCGGAUCAAAGGUGUGAUUCCGCCUCGGGAGCGGACUGCGUCCUACUAGCUAGUUGGCGGGGUAAUGGCCCACCAAGGCGACGAUGGGUAGCGGGUGUGAGAGCAUGACCCGUCUCACUGGGACUGAGACACUGCCCAGACACCUACGGGUGGCUG
rnacentral:rRNA from 1 species